GCUGCCUUGGCACUAGAAGGCGAUGAAGGACGUGCAAACCUGCGAAAAGCUACGGGGAGCUGGUUGGAAGCGAUAAUCCGUAGAUGUCCGAAUGGGGGAACCUGAUUAAUAGAGAUAUUAAUUAUUUAGAUCUGAAUUCAUAGGGUCUAAAAGCGAUACGUUGUGAAGUGAAACAUCUCAGUAGCAACAGGAAAAGAAAUCGAAAGAGAUUCCGUGUGUAGUGGCGAGCGAAAGCGGAAGAGGCCAAACCAAGAUUUAUCUUGGGGUUAUAGGACUGUGACAUGGACUUUGAAUUGAUAGGAGAAGUAGUUGAAAAGCUACGCAAUAUAGGGUUAUAGCCCCGUAUCUUAAAUUGGUUCAAUACCUAACAGUAUCCUGAGUACAUCGAGAAACGUUAUCUUGAUGGAAUUCGCCCAGACCAUUGGGCAAGCCUAAAUACUAACUAGUGACCGAUAGCGUAUAGUACCGUGAGGGAAAGGUGAAAAGAACCCAGGGAUGGGAGUGAAAUAGAUUCUGAAACCAUAUGCCUACAACGUGUCAGAGCACAUUAAUGUGUGAUGGCGUGCGUUUUGAAGUAUGAGCCGGCGAGUUAUGAUAGCAAGCAGGUUAACCUUUAGAAGGGAAGCCAAAGCGAAAGCGAGUUUGAAUAGAGCGACACAUAUGUUUGUUAUUAUAGACCCGAAACGGGUUGAGCUAGUCAUGGGCAGGUUGAAGUUAGAGUAACAUCUAAUGGAGGACCGAACCGACUUUCGUUGAAACGACAGCGGAUGACCUGUGACUAGGGGUGAAAUUCCAAUCGAAAUCCGUGAUAGCUGGUUCUCGUCGAAAUAGUUUUAAGACUAGCGUAAGAUAAUGAUUAGUUGGAGGUAGAGCUACUGAAUGUAUGAUGGCGCCGCCUUGGUGUACUGAAUACAAUUAAACUCCGAAUGCCAAUUAAUUUACUCUUGCAGUCAGACAGUGGGGGAUAAGCUUCAUUGUCACAAGGGGAAGAGCCCAGAUCAUUAAAUAAGGUCCCUAAAAUAUGCUAAGUGGAAAAGGUUGUUAAAAUACUUAAACAGCAAGGAUGUUGGCUUAGAAGCAGCCAUCGUUUAAAGAGUGCGUAACAGCUCACUUGUCGAGUGUUUUUGCGCCGAAGAUGUAACGGGGCUAAGCAUAUUACCGAAUUUAUGGAUUAUCUAUUUAUUUAGAUAGUGGUAGACGAGCGUUGUAUAUGGGGUGAAGUCAAACCGUGAGGAUUGGUGGACUGUAUACAAGUGAGAAUGCCGGUGUAAGUAACGCUUGAGAGUGAGAAUCUCUCAAACCGAUUGACUAAGGUUUCCUGGACGAGGGUCGUCCUUCCAGGGUUAGUCUGGACCUAAGGCGAGGCAGAAAUGCGUAGUCGAUGGAAGAACAGGUUAAUAUUCCUGUACAAACAAAUAGCUGAUGGAGUGACGGAGAAGGUUAAUGCAUCCCCAUUAUUGGAUUUGGGGUUAAAUAAGAAGUCUUAAGAGUUGGCAAAUCCGCUCUUUNNCUUCUGAGUUAACUAUUUGUUUCCAGUACCGAGAACGAACACACGUGGUCAAGGAGAAGAUCCUAAGGUUAGCGAGUGAACUAUAGCUAAGGAACUCUGCAAAUUCAUCCCGUAAGUUCGCAAGAAGGGAUGCUCAAUGUAAAAGUUGAGCCGCAGUGAAGAACGAGGGGGGACUGUUUAACUAAAACACAGCUCUAUGCUAAAUCGCAAGAUGAUGUAUAUGGGGUGACACCUGCCCAGUGCUGGAAGGUUAAAGAAGCGUGUUAGAGCAAUCAAAGCUCGCGACUGAAGCCCCAGUGAACGGCGGCCGUAACUAUAACGGUCCUAAGGUAGCGAAAUUCCUUGUCGGGUAAAUUCCGUCCCGCUUGAAUGGUGUAACCAUCUCUUGACUGUCUCGGCUAUAGACUCGGUGAAAUCCAGGUACGGGUGAAGACACCCGUUAGGCGCAACGGGACGGAAAGACCCCAUGAAGCUUUACUGUAACUUAAUAUUGGGCAGAGUUUAGACAUAUAGAGUAUAGGUGGGAGACUUUGAAGCAACUUCGCUAGGAGUUGUGGAGUCACCAGUGGAAUACCACCUUUGUUUAAAUUCUUCUCUAACUAGUUGCUGUUAUCCAGCAAUAGGACAGUGUUAGGCGGGCAGUUUGACUGGGGCGGUCGCCUCCUAAAAGGUAACGGAGGCGUGCAAAGGUACCCUCAGCACGGUUGGAAAUCGUGUUAAGAGUGUAAUGGUAUAAGGGUGCUUGACUGUGAGACUUACAAGUCGAACAGGUAAGAAAUUAGGUCAUAGUGAUCCGGUGGUUCAGUAUGGAAUGGCCAUCGCUCAACGGAUAAAAGCUACUCUGGGGAUAACAGGCUGAUACUGCCCAAGAGUUCACAUCGACGGCAGUGUUUGGCACCUCGAUGUCGACUCAUCUCAUCCUCGAGCUGAAGCAGGUUCGAAGGGUUCGGCUGUUCGCCGAUUAAAGAGAUACGUGAGUUGGGUUCAAACCGUCGCGAGACAGGUUGGUCCCUAUCUAUUGUGCCCGCAGGAAGAUUGAAAAGAUUUACUCUUAGUACGAGAGGACCGGAGUGAAGACACCUCUUGUGCUCCAGUUGUAGUGCCAACUGCACCGCUGGGUAGCAACGUGUCGAACGGAUAAACGCUGAAAGCAUCUAAGUGUGAAACCGACUUUAAGAUUAAUCUUCCCUUCCAGCAAUGGAGUAAGAAUCGUUGUAGACUACGACGUUGAUAGGCUAAAUGUGUAAGUGCCGUGAGGUAUUUAGCUGAUUAGUACUAAUAAUUCGAGGACUUAGAUUU
rnacentral:rRNA from 1 species